GUCAAAGAAGAUCGUACAUUUUCCUGAUCAAAUAGGGGUAUUGAAGGCCUUUUUUGACCUGCUAGCAGAGGCAGCCACCAGAACUGGCCUGUCGGAGAGUAUGGUGGAGAACUGGUUAGGGAAUGAAAGAGUAAAGCUGGCCCAGAGUAAAGCUGUCUCUCAACACAAAACUAAGCUCUACAAACGUAAUGUGUCAGCUUACAACCUGUUUAUGAGGGACCACCUUAAAGCUAAAGGAGUUAUGGCAGGUACACAGGGCAAAUGGCAGGCAUUACCACCUGCCACAAAAGCCCAUUACAGUGAGGAGGCAGACAAGCUACGGUCAGGAGUUGAAGGGGAACCUGAAGGCAUUAAAAAUGAAGCAGAUGGACAGGGCAGAGUUCCAUGUAUGACUGUGGCUGCCAAGCAGGUGGUCAUUGAAGUAGAGGGCAUGCCAGCUGGGAUAGAGUUGAAAAAGCCCUCCCACUAUGGCAUGGACCAACUAUCUUCCAUUUUGGAGGCAGGCCGUGGCAUCAAGUUCACAAUAACUAGGGGUGGUGCUGGGCCUAGAGCUGGAGAUGGGAGUGGAGCUGGGCCUUGAGAUGGGAGUGGAGAUAGAGAUGGGCCUGGUGCUGGAACAGUGCCUGUAGUUGGUGCUGGGCCUGGGCCUUUACUGGAGGUUGGGCUGAGGCUGGAGCUGAAGGUUGGACUGCACCAGGACCUGUCUAAUUCCCUGGAGGUUGGUAAUAAUAUAUACAUGUACGCAGAGUAUUCAAAACAUUAAGGACACCUGCUCUUUCCACAACAUAGACUGACCAGGGGAAAGCUAUGAUCCCUUAUUGAUGUCACUUGUUUAAUCCACUUCAAUCAGUGUAGAUGAAGGGGGGAGGAGACAGGUUAAAAAAUGAUUUUUACACCUUGAGACAGUUGAGACAUGGAUUGUGUAUGUGUGCCAUUCAGAGGGUGAAUGGACAAGACAGAUUUUUUAAGUGCCUUUAAAUGGAGUAUGGUUUUAGGUGCCCGGCUCACUGGUUUGUGUCAGGAAUUGCAACGCGCUCAAAUGCUUCCCGAGUGUAUCAAAAAUAGUAAAACACCCAAAGGACAUCCAGCCAACUUGACAUAACUGUGGGAAGCAUUGGAGUUACAAUAGGCCAGCAUCCCUGUGGAACGCUUUCGACACCUUGUAGAGUCCAUGCCGGCGAAUUGAGGAUGUUCUGAGGGUAAAGGGAGGGGGGGGAGCAACUCAAUAUUAGGAAGUUGUUCUUAAUGUUUUGUAAACUCAGUGUAAUUAGAUGUUAUGUAGUUACAGUAUGUAUGUUUUGGAUGUAUACUGCAUGAUAAAAGAGUAAAUAUAAAAGAGAAAUUGUAGUCAAUGACCAGAAUCUUUGCUGGCAUAGAAAGAGUCAGUUCAGAAUUCGAUUUUGGGUACAUAUGUGGAAACUCGUUUACCACACUACGUAAUGAAUGAGGUGUUUCAGUGCAGACACUAUACUAAAAACACAUCUGUUUGAUGGUAUUUUUUCAAAAUGUACUGUGAAUGUAGCCAACAAGUCAACCUGUAUUUUGUCUUCGAUUAUAAAGAACAUACCUUACAAUUUAUCACUUUGUAAUUGUGCCUCUGUAUUUAUUUUCUCCCAGACAUCCUUGCAGUUGCAAUGAACUCCAUUAUUACUUAGCCACAAUUAAUUGUUUUAUAAUAAAAAAUGUUAUUCCACGUUGUGUUGGGUGUAAUUACAUUGAUAUAUCUAGUGAAAACUGGAUAAGCAACACUGAACUGCACUGUCACGACUUCCACCAAAGUCGGUUCCUCUCCUUGUUCAGGAGGCGUUCUACGUUCGGCAUCACCGGUCUUCCAGCCAUCGUCGAUCCACUUUUCAUUUUCCAUUUGUUUCAUCUUGUUUUCCUACACACCUUGUUUUCAUUUCCCUCAUUAAUUGUUGUGUAUUUAACCCUCUGUCUCCCCCCAUGCCUUGUGUAGACUUGUUUGUUGUAAGUGCUUGUGCACAUGUUUACUGGUGCACGUCAGGUUUUGUAUCGAUGUUGGUUAUUUCUUUAUGCAGUUGGUUUUGCAAUUAAACUGCUCUGGUUAUUACCUAGUUCUGCUCUCCUGCGUCUGACUUCCUUGCCACCAGUUACGCACCCCUGACGGAGAGAAGUUGUCACUACAAGCUUUACAUCAAAGUUGCCUGAAGCUGAAUGGAAAGGCUAUGCCCUUUCCAGUUAUUCAGAAGAAAAUCCUCUUGUCUAAUUUACAGUUGAAGUCGGAAGUUUACAUACACUUAGGUUGGAGUCAUUAAAACAAGUUUUUCAACCAAUCCACAAAUUAAUUGAUAACAAACUAUAGUUUUGGCAAGUCGGUUAUGACAUCUACUUUGUGCAUGACACAAGUCAUUUUUCCAACAAUUGUUUACAGAUUAUUUCACUUAGAAUUCACUGUAUCACAAUUCCAGUUUGUCAGAGGUUUACAUACAUUAAGUUGACUGUGCCUUUAAACAGCUUGGAAAAUUCCAGAAAAUUAUGUCAUGGCUUUAGAAGCUUCUGAUAGGCUAAUUGACAUCAUUUGAAUCAAUAGGAGGUGUACCUGUGGAUGUAUUUCAAGGCCUACCUUCAAACUCAGUGCCUCUUUGCUUGACAUCAUGGGAAAAUCUAAAGAAAUCAGCCAAGACCUCAGAAAAAAAUUGUAGACCUCUACAAGUCUGGUUCAUCCUUGGGAGCAAUUUCCAAAUGCCUGAAGGUACCAUG
rnacentral:lncRNA from 13 species